CGGCUAACUACGUGCCAGCAGCCGCGGUAAUACGUAGGGGGCAAGCGUUAUCCGGAUUUACUGGGUGUAAAGGGAGCGCAGACGGCUAUGCAAGUCUGAAGUGAAAGCCCGGGGCUCAACCCCGGGAUUGCUUUGGAAACUGUGUAGCUAGAGUGUCGGAGAGGUAAGCAGAAUUCCCAGUGUAGCGGUGAAAUGCGUAGAUAUUGGGAAGAAUACCGGUGGCGAAGGCGGCUUACUGGACGAUAACUGACGUUC
rnacentral:rRNA from 1 species